AAAUUGAAGAGUUUGAUCAUGGCUCAGAUUGAACGCUGGCGGCAGGCCUAACACAUGCAAGUCGAGCGGAAACGAGUUAUCAGAACCUUCGGGGGACGAUAACGGCGUCGAGCGGCGGACGGGUGAGUAAUGCCUAGGAAAUUGCCCUGAUGUGGGGGAUAACCAUUGGAAACGAUGGCUAAUACCGCAUGAUGCCUACGGGCCA
rnacentral:rRNA from 1 species